rnacentral:pre_miRNA from 1 species
AUGUUUCGUGAAUUCACAUGCAUUAUAUUGUGGUAUGAACUGAGUACAUGAUGAUUUAUGAUGCUUAUUGGGGGCUUACCAUAAGACAAUGUCGUGAAUUCGCAAAACUU